AGUCUUAGUGCUCUGUUUUUUUUAUUUUGUGUGUGUUUCACGCGUUCUGUGCUGCUAAGAACGUAUUGAAGUCAUCUCUAGCUUUCAACAGUCUUGGGGUAAUACAUGUUCGCGGCGAAGCUGGGCACGAAUCCGAGGUUGUGGUCGAGAAUCUGACACGGCGUUGCGGGGAUGUCUCAGCCAAAUCCCUUAAUUGUCUUCCAGACAG